GGAGUGCUCAAGCCUGAUGUCGUGUUCUUUGGUGAUAAUGUCCCAAAGGAUAGAGCUACUAAGGCGAUGGAAGCUGCUAGAAAUUGUGAUGCUUUCCUCGUAUUGGGGUCAUCUGUGAUGACCAUGUCUGCUUACCGUCUAGUGAGGGCUGCUCACGAGUCUGGUGCCGCUACUGGAAUUGUAAAUGUAGGUGUGACACGAGCUGAUGACUUUGUAUCACUGAAAAUCAAUGCUAGGUUGGGUGAGAUCAUGCCCAGAGUGCUUCAUAUGGGUUCCCU
rnacentral:misc_RNA from 1 species